UCUAGUAUUUUGAGGGAAAAGUAGGUGAAGUAGUUAGUUGCAGAGGGCUGCCUGUUUAGAAGCCAGGACAGAAAUGAGCCUUUUCCGCUCAUGAGUUGUCAUGAGGCCUGCUGUGUUUACCAUCAAUUAAGAGGUAGGUAUAUUUCUAACCUGCUGCUUGAUGCUCUUUUCUUACAGUUAACUAAGACAGUGUCCAGAUUUUACUGUGCUGGCGUCGCCACCGGUAGCCUAGGUAUUUUACAUGGCGCGAAUGCAGAGCUCAGCAGGUUAGCUGGAGUGGGGUCUACGGUAACCUGCUGUUAAGCCACAUCAUUUCAGGUUGCAUGAUGGCAGAGACACUUACUGAAGUUAUUACCUUUUUGAGGCAGAGAGGCGUCUCAGAAGAAGUCAUUGAAUUAAUGGAAAAGCAAAAGAUUGACAGAGAUGUCAUCAUUCUAAUGGAAGAUGCAGAACUGGCCGAUUACCUCCCCUCAUAUGGAGACCGAAUUGCUUUGUUCAAUUUUUGCAGGCGGAAGACAACCUCCUCAAAACGAAAGUUGGGUCUUUUUGAAAAACUGAGGGAAAAACUCAAAGUUAGGAAGGAAAAAGACCAAGGUGAGGAGGAGCCACAAAGUUCAAACAAAGUGCAUCGAGCAAAAAAGUCAAAACGCAUGGUUGAAAUCGGAUGGGUUCACACGGACAGUAAUAUCACAAAACAGAUCAGAGCAAAACAAGGUGGAGG